rnacentral:lncRNA from 1 species
AGGACCUCAUUUGGUUGAGAAAGCUGCAGAGACUUAAGAUUCUUGGUCUUAUGUGGUGCUUAUCCAUUGAAGAAUUACCUGAUGAAAUAGGAGAGCUCAAGGAGUUAAGGUUGUUGGAUGUGACAGGUUGUGAAAGGCUAAGAAGGAUACCUGUGAAUUUGAUUGGAAGGUUGAAGAAGUUAGAAGAGCUGUUGAUCGGGCAUCGCAGCUUUGAUGGAUGGGAUGUUGUUGGAUGUGACAGCACAGGAGGAAUGAAUGCAAGCCUAACAGAACUAAAUUCGUUGUCUCAGUUAGCCGUAUUAUCAUUGAGGAUACCGAAGGUUGAAUGCAUUCCCAGAGAUUUUGUUUUUCCCAGCUUGCUCAAAUAUCAUAUAAUAUUAGGGAAUGGGUUUGUGGCAGGAGGAUACCCAACCUCGACAAGAUUAAAUUUGGCUGGUACAUCCUUAAAUGUGAAGACAUUUGAGCAAUUAUUUUUACAUAAAUUAGAAUUUGUAGAAAUGCGGGGUUGUGGGGUUGUUUCCACUCUGUUUCCAGCAAGAUUGCGGCAAGGUUUAAAAAAUCUAAAGGAGGUGAUUGUUGACAGGUGUAAAUCAGUGGAAGAGGUAUUUGAAUUGGGUGAGGCUGAUGAAGGAAGCAGUGAGGAGAAGGAGCUGCCGUUGCUGUCAUCUUUAACAGAGUUAAAGCUGCGAGGGUUACCUGAGCUCAAAUGCAUAUGGAAGGGGCCCAUUGGACAUGUCAGCCUCCAAAGUCUUGCUCGUCUGUAUCUGAAUUCUCUCGAUAAACUGACAUUUAUCUUCACACCGUCCCUCGUUCAAAGUCUGCCAAAGCUAGAAAGCCUUCACAUAAGUAAAUGCGGUGAAUUGAAGAAUAUUAUCAGAAAAGAGUCGCGAACCUAGGCUGACGCGAGAGUGCGUACGCACUCAGAGGAACUGGCUNNNNNNNNNNNNNNNNNNNNNNNNNNNNNNNNNNNNNNNNNNNNNNNNNNNNNNNNNNNNNNNNNNNNNNNNNNNNNNNNNNNNNNNNNNNNNNNNNNNNGAUUGUUCGUGCUGACAAUUUAAAGCAAAUAUUUUACGGUGGAGAAGGAGAUGCACAUAACAGAGAUGGCAUUAUCAAGUUCCCUCAACUAAGAGAAUUGUCUCUUCGGCUCAGAUCAAAUUACAGCUUUUUAGGUCCACGGAAUUUUGAUGCUCAAUUGCCUUUGCAAUACUUAGCCAUUGAAGGCCACGAAGAAGUGGGUAAUUGGUUGGCACAGCUACAAGUACGUAAUUUAUAUUUCUCCACUUAAUUUAAAUUGUCAAUUGCGAUAAUUUAUUCUUUCUUCCUCCAAAUUUCUAAAAGUAAAGUAAUUGAUAAAUGCUAGGAAAUCCAAGUUUCAUUUUUUUUUUAAUUAUAUAACAAACAUAGUAACUUAUUUUUAUUUUUUUAUGAUUUGUUUUUUUAUCUAAACAUAUAUAAAUAUAAGAAAAUUAACUGCCUCAUUGUUGUUUGCGUUAUUAAUACCAAAAAUUAAUCAUAGAAAUCAUAUUAUCUGUUAGAUUUAAUGUAUAAGAACAUAAAUUUUGUGUUCAAGUAUUUAAUUAAUUACUAUUUUUAUUUUUAUUUUUUACAUGAAACUAAUUAUUAGGAGUUGUAUUAACCUUUUUUUUUCGCAAAAAUCUAAUUAUUAUUCAACUUAUCUCUAAUUAAGAAAAAAAAACUGAAACAAUAAUAUGUAAUCUCUAAGAAGUAUUUAAUCCUGUUUUUUUUUUUUUUUUUUCCUCCUAUUUAUACAUCAUAUAAAUUGUUCUCUGAUAAGAUGGUCGUCCAUGGGCAGCAAAACGACUUCUUACAAAGAUUAGAAUUUGUACGAGUGGACGAUUGUGGGGAUGUUCGCGCUCCGUUUCCAGCAAAAUUGUUGCGAGCUCUGAAAAAUCUGAAGGUGGAAAUUGAGGGCUGCAAAUCAUUGGAAGAGGUAUUUGAAUUGGGUGAGGCUGAUGAAGGAAGCAGUGAGGAGAAGGAGCUGCCUCUGCUGUCAUCUUUAACAAUGUUACAUCUAAACAGAUUACCUGAGCUCAAAUGUAUAUGGAAGGGGCCCACCAGACAUGUCAGCCUCCAAAGUCUUAUUUUUCUGGAUUUGUAUUCUCUCGACAAACUGACAUUUAUCUUCACAACGUCCCUCGCUCAAAGUCUGCCAAAGCUAGAAAGACUUGACAUACGUGAUUGCGGUGAAUUGAAGCAUGUUAUCAGAGAAGAGGAUGGUGAAAGGGAAAUAAUUCCAGAGUCUCCUCGCUUCCCAGAAUUAAAAACUCUCUACAUAUCUCACUGUGGUAAACUGGAAUAUGUCUUCCCUGUCUCUAUGUCUCCAAGCCUUCCGAACCUGGAAGAGAUGACGAUUUCUUAUGCUGACAAUUUAAAGCCAAUAUUUUACAGUGGAGAAGGAGAUGCACUCACCACAGUUGGCAUCAUCAAGUUCCCUCGACUAAGAAAAUUGUCUCUUUCAAAUUGCAGCUUUUUUGGUCCAAAUAAUUUUGCUGCCCAAUUGCCUUCUUUGCAAAUUCUAAAAAUUGAUGGCCACAAAGAAUUGAGAAAUUUGUUUGCACAGCUCCAAGUACGUCCUUUAUAUUUCUCCAAUAUUUUUUUUCCUUUUUAAUUUAAAUUGUCAACUUCAAUACAUGUUGAUUUCUUCCUUUAAAUUUCUGAAACUGAAGUAAUUGAUGAGUGGAGAUAAAUCCUUUAGCCAUCCACUAAAUUUAAAAGGAUUUGUCUAACUGUAUCAUUCCCUGUCUCUUGAUGCAGGGGUUGACAAAUUUGGAAACAUUAUGCUUGGAAUCCCUGCCUGACAUGAGGAGUAUAUGGAAGGGUCUCGUGCUGAGCAAAUUGACUACUUUGGAGGUGGUUAAGUGUAAGAGACUGACACAUGUAUUCACAUGCAGCAUGAUUGUCAGUCUAGUUCAACUGAAAGUUCUAAAGAUAUUGUCCUGUGAGGAAAUGGAGCAAAUCAUUGCUAAAGAUGAUGAUGAAAACUACCAGAUAUUGUUAGGAGAUCAUCUCCAAUCUUUAUGCUUUCCCAAUUUGUAUGGAAUUGAGAUUAGAGAAUGUAACAAGUUGAAGAGUCUCUUCCCAGUAGCCAUGGCUUCAGGUCUCCCAAAGCUGCAAACACUGAGAAUAAGUGAAGCCUCUCAAUUAUUGGGAGUAUUUGGGCAGGAUGAUCAUGCUUCACCUAUCAACGUUGAGAAGGAGAUGGUGCUUCCUAAUCUGUGGGAGCUGUCGCUAGAACAAUUAUCAAGUAUUGUCUGUUUUAGUUUCGGAACCUGUGAUUUCUUAUUCCCUUGUUUGGGGAAGUUGAAGGUCCAUCAAUGUCCAAAGUUGACCACAAAAUUUGCUACUACACCAGAUGGUUCAAUGAGUGCUCAAUCAGAGGUGCUGCUGAUUUGACUUGAUUUCUUGCCUCUCUUUUAGCGUGUUUGUUUCUUGUUUCCCUCAAUAAUAAGAUUUACAAGUUAAAAUGAGCAUGCCAUGCUUGACUUGGUUUUACAGGUAUAUGAAGUAGAUGAAGAUUCAAGCAUUAAUAGAGACUGGACCAGAAAUAACGGGUGGAAAGAAGAUGGAGACUCAUGUCUUUGAGCUGUGAAUAUAUUUGGACUUGAUGCUGUACUAUUUGUUCAAAAGUUUGAUAUCAUAUUUUCCUAGCAGAACAGUGUCAUGUUGAAUGGUUUUUUCGAGCACAUACCUUGCUGGAUUUUGCUAGAGAUUCUAAAUAUUCCUCUGAUUUCUAUACAUUUGAGCUCAGGUAACCCUUGCAGCGGUAACUCUGUUAAAGAUGACAGCAGCGGCAGCUCCUUCUCCUCACUGCUUCCUUCAUCAGAAGAUGGUGAUGAUGAUGAUGAUGAUUUCAAGGUUGGUGCUGCGAAUAUGUUUUUGAUUGGUGGAAGUAAUUCCUACUGUUUCAUUGGAAAUGGGAUACAAAUUGGCUUCACUUUGUAACAGUCUUAUUUAUCAAAAGAAGAUAUCGACUUAUCUAUAUAUGUGUGAAUAAGGUUAUCUGCUUGUUUACCCAUGUAAUGUAAUGUUGUGUGUUUAGUCAUUACUGUGCGAACCUCAAAAAAAUAAUGUUGCUUGACCAUUAUCGUACAAGCCUCCAGAAGUAGGGGCGUAUGUUGCUUGCCCAUUUGUGUUUCUUUUCAAGUGUGUGAACCUUAAAAAAUAAAGGCAUAAUGUUUAAUGUGUAUUGAAGGAAAGAAUCCCAAGUAAUUAGGAGAUAUACUGUAAUCAAUGGGAUUAAAUAAUUUACCAAAGUUAAUCCUAGAGUAUCUGAUUAUAUGUAAACUGUGUAUAUUGUUGGGAUAUUGCCAUUAUUGUGGCAAUACCCCACCACUAAUUGUGGCUUAGUGGAAGCAUCACUAAUGCCACAAUUAGUGGCAUGAUUUCGGGACCUAAGAAAUGCAUAUAAAGGAGGCUUAUAUUUGAGAGCAAGAGUGUGAGAGAAGAGAGAAUUGUGAGAGUGAAGUGACGAGAAGAAGAGAGAAAGAGGAGCUGCUGCCAUGGGCAGCAGCCCUGCUGCCAUAUGCAGCAGAGUGUGUGAACUGGGAGUUGAGUGAUCCUCCUCCAUGUAUUGUUUUGUAAACCUUUCUCUACCUCUAAUACAAUGACUCUCUCCCGUGGAUGUAGGCGGUUUUGCCGAAUCACGUUAAAUAUUGUGUCAGUGUGCUUACCCUCCGAUGAGCAACUAUCAGUACACCCCCGGUCCGCGCAUGGGGGUGACGGAAUUCCCCAACAAUUGGUAUCAGAGCACAUGGUUUAAAGGGGUGUUUGAUUUUUGCUCAAAAAUGAAAGUUGUCACAAUUGUGUUUUGACCAUACCACUGUGUAGAGAAGGAAGAGACGAAGCCACUGGUGAAAACGGCGUCAAAAUCGGACGUCGGACAUGACCGCACUCUCCAUCACUCUCCGGCAAGGCGUCUGCCCACGCGCGCAGACGCGCCCCACGCGUCUUCUUCACCCGGAUGGGUUGACCCGACCCGAAUACCAGUUGACCCGACCCAUGUGACUGACUCGGAUAUGGAUGACGUCAGCAUGACAUAAUUGUGAUGUCAGCAUGCACAGUAGGCAUGCCAGGGAUGACAUCAGCCUGAUGUAAGUGUGAUGUCAGCAUGCACAGUAGGCAUGCCAUGUCAUCAGACACAUCAUCGACCAGUCAGUAGACACGUCAGCACAGUGGGACCCACCUGCCACGUCACCAGCCACGAGUUGAGCCGAGCCGAGUUGAGCCGAGCCGAAUUGGAGCCGAGCCGAGACGCGAGCCGAGGGACAGGAUCCAGUGUAGCGGAUCCUAAGUGCAACCGGAUCUGAGAUUGAAUCUAAGCCGUUAAUCAGGCCAGAAUUGUUUUGAUCAAAUUGUAGCCGUCUGAAAUGCGAUUUGGACGAUUUCAGACUUGUUUCCAGCUAAUUUGAUCGUUCCGGAUGCAAUGGUACGGUCCGAUCAUUGAGAUUUGAGACCAAAAAUGGCGGUGGUUAAUUAUUAAAGAGAGAUUGCCCGAUCAGGAGGCAUCCGAUGGUCUUCAUGGUGGUCGAUGAAGAUGAAGAAGAAGGUGCACAUGUUUACCCAAUUACAUGUGCUGAACUGCUAAGUGGGGAGAAAUUUAACUGCCUUGAGGGAAGGCAAAAUUGGGACACUCUGGACACCCGAUCAAGUGGACAGUUAGAGGUGUAGAGUGAAAACUGAUGAAGACCAAUCUUGACGAAUCUAAGAACUGGUAGUCUCGUCAGAUGUUGAGAAAUCAUGUAUUAAACCAGUAUAUUCCAGAUCACUUGUAAAGGAAAACCGCAACAAAGCUAGCAAAUGGUUGUAUAUACGGAAAGACAGUACGAUGGAUAGAUAUGGCCUAAGAAGUUCUGUCUAGGAGAUUGGGUUUUAAGCGGGACCAGUGUGACCCCUCCAAUCUUUCCUGGGAACUUGCUUAGUGGAAGGAUUAUCCAUACGGUACUAUUUUCGUAUAUAUAGCAGUUUGUAAUGAAACAGUUGAAGACUAGCAGGAUGGCGGCACAAGGGAACAGUUGGGUUCCAAAGGUUCAAGGAUCUGAUGGAGUGGUGAUUUCUCCAAAGAAGUUAGAUUCGGUGACUGUGAUUUCUUGAGGGAGAAUUGAUGAAGACCCUGAUAAUGGAAGAGGAAUACAGCAAGAGGAUAAAGAUUGGCACCCUAUUUUGACUUGGACAGGUGUUGUGACAGGAUGAGCUGCUGUCAAACAUAAGCAAGGAAUAGGGAGAAAUUCUGGAGAACAGAAAAUGCACGAGGGCACACGGAGAUUGUGCAUGAGUACCCGUAAGAUUCAACGAGGUACUGUAAUGAGACAACAGGUGCAAGGAGAAGAAGUGUUCCCAGAUGAAGCUCAGAGCAGAGACUGUUAAAGUUUGUACAACAGGAAGUCUCUUGUGCUCUUAAUGAAGACAACAUGCGAAGACCUUUCCAAUGCAUGCAAGGAUGGAAAGAGAGCUGUUGCAGAGGCACCUAAUUGAGGGGGUGCAAAUGCCUAUGAUAAAAGGCGACCGCCUAUGAUGAAAGGCGAAGACACCAAAGAGAGUUGGUGUAGGUGGAGCUGUCAAGCAGAAAGGCACAGAAGCUCCAAACAUAGAAAUUGAGGUGGAGGAUUGCGAGGAGUAUACCACAACUUUCUCUUUCUAUGUAGUCAGUGGCAGCAAUCUCUCCCAUAGUGCACAUGGUGGUAGAGAAUUUUGGAGCCACUUUGAAGCAUCUCAGCUGAAGGAGGAUGCGACCGCCCCAUGACAACGGGCGAAGACACCUUAGAUGGAAGGUGUGUGAUGGCCAUGAUAGGAGCCCGGAUCAGACCGCCCUAUGACAACGGGCGAAGACACCUUAGAGAAGGUGUGAGGGCCUUGAUAUGAGCCCCAGAUCAGACUGUCCUAUGACAACGGGCGAAGACACCUAAGGAGAAGGUGUGUGGGCCACGAUAUGAGCCCAGUUCAGAACGCCCCAGAGCUAAAAUGAUGGCUGGAUAUAAGUGGACAGGUGUAUAGCCAAUGAAGUGGCUAUGAUGAGUAUGGAGACAGAUGCAGGAUUGACUUUCAUGGAUAUUGCCCCCAUGCUAAAGAUCAAUGAGCUAGAAGACAUUUGCCUUGGACAAUAAGUGUGUGACUUGUGGAGCAUUAAGACGCGGCUGCUAUGAAGGAGCAGAGGGCAUGCGCAGGUUCCCUGAACAAGUUGACUCUUGUCAAGGUGGUGAGCUCGGUAAUGGCAUUGUAAUACUCAGAGUAUGAAGAUAGAUAUGGAUCAACCUUUAUGGGCUGCCCCCAUGGUGAAAGGUGGAGAGCUACCUGGACUCUUACGACUAAGAGCGAGAGACUCACGGAGAAGUAAGGCGUGGUUCCUAGGGUGGAACAGAGGGCAUGCGCAACUCCUGGAUGAGUAGACUCUUGGAAGAGUGGUGAGCUUGUGAUCACAUUGAAAUACUCAAUGACUGUCGCACUUGGGAAUAUUCGUUUGAGGGGGUGUCAUAAGCCUUGGUGUAAGGCUUGAAAAAUCAUUCCGGACCGAGCAUGGUUGAUACGCUCGAAGGGGAAUGUUGUGUUGAAGACGCUCUCAGAAUGGAAGCUUGGAAGAGCUGCAAAAUGCAAGCUUGUGCUGAAGAAGCAAAAGGACAAUUGCCCACAUAAAUGGCAAAGGGGUGAUUGUUAGGAAAUUGCCAUUAUUGUGGCAAAUGCCCCACCCACCACUAUGCUUAGUGGAAUACUUAGUGGAAGCUUCAUUCAUGCCAUAAUUAGUGGCAGGAUUUCAGGACCCGUUGUCCCCUUGAUGUGCUGGAGAAGGCUACUAAGAAAUGCAUAUAAAGGAGGCUUAUAUUUGAGAGCAAGAGUGUGAGAGAAGAGAGAAUUGUGAGAGUGAAGUGACGAGAAGAAGAGAGAAAGAGGAGCUGCUGCCAUGGGCAGCAGCCCUGCUGCCAUAUGCAGCAGAGUGUGUGAACUGGGAGUUGAGUGAUCCUCCUCCAUGUAUUGUUUUGUAAACCUUUCUCUACCUCUAAUACAAUGACUCUCUCCCGUGGAUGUAGGCGGUUUUGCCGAAUCACGUUAAAUAUUGUGUCAGUGUGCUUACCCUCCGAUGAGCAACUAUCAGUACACCCCCGGUCCGCGCAUGGGGGUGACGGAAUUCCCCAACAUAUAUAUAUAUAUCGUGCUUCUUUGCAAUAUGAAGACACUGAAUACAGAAUACAAUAAUAUUAUCAUUCUGUUCAUGGUAUGUUCUGAGAACCUAGAAAUACAACCCAGUAAUCCACACAACCAAAUACCUCAUGGCGGGUGACGAAGACCAAAAGCUUCUUGAUCAAAACAAGAGCUCAAACUCUUUCAAGACCUCAGAACCAUGGGAGAACUCCAAUCAUUCACUUUUUCUCCAUCACUCAGAUCAACCAGGCGCUGUCCUCGUUUCAAAAUCGCUGAUGGAAGACAAUUACACAACAUGAGUACAGUCAAUGAGCAUGGCACUUACUAUAAAAAACAAGAAGGGCUUUGUAGAUGGAACUCUCAAGAGACCGACUCAUAAUCCUGAUGAGCAACAACAAUGAGACUGCUGUGACAUUCUUGUAAAAACCUGGCUGCUAGGAGCCAUGUCGAAGGAUAUCUUAGGCAGUGUCAUCCAUUGCAAGGACACAAGAGGUAUAUGGCUAGAGCUGAAAGAGAGAUUUUCUCAAACUAACGUAGUUUCAUUGUUCCAUAUAGAAAAUGCCAUUCAUGACUGUGAACAAAGUACAAACUCAGUCAUGUCCUUUUUCACGAAGCUCAAAAGCUGUGGGAUGAGAAGGAUGCCCUCUGUGCAUUCCCUCCUUGCAAUUGUGAGGCAGCUACCGCUGUUAAGGUUUUCAUGGAAACACAAAAAGACCAUGAAGUUCCUGAUGGGGCUUAACGAAAGCUAUGCACAGACCCGAAGCAAUAUAAUAGGCAUGGAUCCUCUUCCGAACCUGGACAAAGCCUAUGCAAUGGCUUUACUACAUGAGAAGCAGGCAGAGGCCUUUACUGGAAAGUCGAUGACACCAUCAGAAGCAUCUGCUUUUGCAGUAAAGAAGGUGACCUGUGAUUUUAACUCUACAGAAGGAGAAGCUAAAUUUUGUGAAAAAUGCAACAUGAAUAAUCACAACACAAAGAACUGCAGAGCUCAUCUCAAAUGCACAUAUUGCAAUGGAAAAGGACAUACCUAUGAUUAUUGUUGAAGGAGAAAGAACGCUACUGAAGGUGGACAAACAAGAUCGAAAGCAAAUCAUAUAGCCCCUCAAAAUAAUAGUAAGGAAGCUUUGCCUAAUUUCCCUUUCUCACGAGAAGAGUGCCAUCAACUUCUCAGUCAGCUUUUAACAAAAAUGAAGUCUGCCUCCGCCAAUCUAGUCAUUUUCGGUUUGCACACAGUAGUGAAGAAACAACAUGGAUACUGGAUAGUGGUGCAAGUGAUUAUAUUGUUUGUAACCCAAAUUUGCUUACCUCUCUAAAAUCAGUCCAUAACCGUUGGGUUAAGCUUCCUGAUGGAACCUCCACACACGUUACUCAUAUUGGCACAUUAUCUUUCUCUCCCCACUUUGUUCUUCAUAAUGUCCUUUAUGUCCCACUCUUCUAUCUCAAUUUGAUUUCUAUGAGCAAACUAGCAUUUGAUUCAUUCUAUAUUACUAUCUUUCUCAGACAAAUUUGUGUCAUACAGGACCUACGAUCGGGGAAGAUGAUUGGGAUGGGAACUGAGAAUGAGGGCCUUUACUGCCUCAAUUACUCAACGAAAGGAACAUGCAAUGCAGUACACACCAACACAAACAACUUGUGGCAUCAACGCCUUGGUCACCCUUCAAAUAAAGCAUCUUCAUUAUUUCCAUUCCUUGCCAAUAAAACUUGUAUUUCAAGUACUUGCUCUAUCUGUCCUUUAUCCAAACUCACUAGACAACCUUUCCCAUUAAGCACUACACAUAGUGAAUUUUGCUUUGAUUUAAUUCACAUUGAUAUUUGGGGUGGUUAUCAUGUCCCAUCUUCUUCUUCUGGUGCACAAUAUUUUUUAACCAUUGUUGAUGACCAUUUACGAAGCACAUGGGUAUAUUUGAUAAAAACACAAAUUUGAAGCACACAUUCUACUUAUUCAUUUUAUUCACUUGGUUGAAAAUCAGUUUGGAAAAAAUGUUAAAGUUGUAAGGAGUGAUAAUGGCCUAGAAUUUAAGAUUUCCUAAUUUUAUUCAUCUAAAGGCAUUAUCCAUCAAACUAGUUGCGUCAACACACCACAACAAAAUGGUGUGGCUGAGCGCAAACAUCGACAUUUGCUAAAUGUAGCUAGAGCUCUCUUUUUUCAAGCAACUCUACCAAAACAUUUUUGGAGGGAUGCCAUACUCACUGCGGCUUACUUGAUCAAGUUAUUCUUAAAGGGAAAACACCAUUUGAAAACCUUUUUCAUAAGGAACCAAGUUAUUCCCAUUUAAAGGUUUUUGGAUAUCAAUGUUUUGUGUCCACAUCCAACCCGUCCUAGCAAAUUUGAUCCCAGGUCCACAGAAUGUAUUUUUCUUGGCUACCCACAUGGCCAAAAAGGGUAUAAGGUUUAUAACUUGACAACUAAGAAAAUCCUCGUUUCAAGGGAUGUGAUUUUCUUUGAGCAUGUGUUUCCUUUUAAAACAAAUUCUGCUUCCCAUUUUUUGCCCCACUUACUAAUUUUCAUUCCUGCAAUUUCUCAUCCACAUUCCAUGCACAACUCCAUUCCUACACCUUAUCCUUAAAAUCCCCAAUCUUCUGCUGACCAUCACUUUCCUGAUACUACUCCACCCAUAGUUGUUAAAAUCUCGAUUUAACUCGUAAAAUCAUAUGAUUUUACGAGUCAAUAUAUGUUAUCGUGUUAAAUCAGCUUAAAAACUUGAAAAANNNNNNNNNNNNNNNNNNNNNNNNNNNNNNNNNNNNNNNNNNNNNNNNNNNNNNNNNNNNNNNNNNNNNNNNNNNNNNNNNNNNNNNNNNNNNNNNNNNNUAGUGUGCCGCACGUAUUUAAGUAUACUAACAAAAAGGUACCGCCAAAAUGAGCAGUGUGGCAGCGACAAGCUCGAGGGUGGUUAAGGGAAGGGUUAAACUGGGUUAUACAGUACUUGCAUGUUCUGAGAGUUUUGUUGUUAUUCUGGUUUAUGGAAAAAUGAGUUAUCAGCAAUCUUUGUGAUUCUAUGAUGGACUUCUGGUAAGAUUGAAGAGAGAAGGUUGUGUUUUGAUGGAGAAAAUGUGAGAAAGGGAGUUAAUCGUGGUGGAGAGUAAAAGCCAUAUCUUUUCUUUCUUCUAAUCUCUUAGUGACUAUCGAGAAAGCAAAUCUCUUAGUGACUAUCAAGAAAGCAAGACAGUUCUCUUUUCCAGUGAAGGGAAAUUUGCUACAAUGGUUUGUUUGACAGGACGGUUAAUGGGCUUGGAAAUUUUCUUAAAAAUAUCUCUCAUUUUUUCUGAAACUUUUCUUAAAAAUAUCUCUUAUUUUUUGCACACAUUUCUCCCUGAUGUGUGAAAUACAAAGAUAUUAGGAAUGAUUUCAGCUUGUAUUAGAAAAUUUAUUAAGAAUUUUUUUUUGUAAAAAUUUCAAAUUUCCUUACGAUUUUACGCUUUUACGAUCUGUUUUUACAAUCAGAGUUUAUUUUGUAUUUUCCAUGCCGUGUCAAAAAUAUGUUUUUGAAAACCUUGAUUCCACCCUCAGAUCCAAUUUCCACUCCACUUACUCCUUCUCUCACAAAUAUCAAUCCCUCCAUUACUUCUAAAAAUAAUCCCGCACUUGACACAUCUUUUAGUUCCAUUUCAUCACCUUUGCAACCUCCCAACUGCCUUCACCACAACCACGCAAGUCUUCUCGAGCCAUAAAACUUCCAACUGCAUUGCAGGGCUUUCAUAUUGAUGCAGCUCUUCCCUCAUGCCCCGAUCCGUCAGCUUCCUCGAACAAGGUCAUCUCUCUAGGUAUGGCUCAUAGCCUCUCUCAUAUCCUAUCUUAUGCUAAUCUUUCUUCCCCUCACAGAACCUUUACUACUAAUAUGACCAUACAAAGAAAGCCUACCUCAUUUUCUCAGGUAGUUAAGGACCCGAAAUGGAGAGCAGCUAUGCAGCAAGAGGUUCAAGCACUUCAUGCUAACAAGACUUGGAGUUUGGUUUCUCCUCCGGCUCACAAACGACCAAUUGGUUCUAAGUGGGUAUAUAAAAUCAAGUAUAAUCCCGAUGGCACAGUUGAGCGCUACAAGGCUAGGUUAGUGGCCAAUGGUUACAGCCAAGUUGAAGGGAUUGAUUAUAGGGAAACAUUUGCGCUAGUUGCUAAGCUCACAACAGUUCGUGUCUUACUCAGUCUUGCAGCCAUGCAGAAUUGGCACCUUCAUCAAUUGGACGUAAAUAAUGCGUUUCUCAAUGGAGAUCUCUAUGAAGAUGUUUACAUGUAGCUUCCUCCUGGCUUCGAACGAAAGGGGGAGAAUCAGGUUUGUAAGCUACACAAAUUAUUAUAUGGCCUGAAGCAAGCCUCAAGGCAAUGGUUUUUGAAGCUUUCCUCAGCCCUCAAAUAAGUUAGCUUCAAGCAAUCAUAGUCCGACUAUUCCUUGUUUGUCCGAAACCAUCAAGGUAUCUUCACAGCUUUGUUGGUCUAUGUCGAUGAUGUUAUUCUUGCAGGGAACAAUUUAGAAGACAUCACAAAGACCAAGUGCUUUCUCUCAAGCCACUUCAAACUGAAGGAUAUGAGACAAUUGAAAUACUUUCUUAUAAUAGAAGUAGCAAGAUCCAAGCACGGGAUUUCCUUGUGUCAAAGGAAAUAUGCAUUGGAAAUCCUUGAAGAUACAGGGUUCCUUGGUGCUAAACCUUCACGGUUUCCAGCUGAACAAAAUGUGACACUUAUACAAGGAGAUGAAGACUUAUUAGAAGACGCCUCCCAAUAUCGAAGACUGGUUGGACGUCUCAUUUAUCUAACCAUCACACGGCCAGACCUUGCAUACGCAGUUCAUAUACUUAGUCGGUUCAUGGACAAACCUAGGCAGCUUCACUUAGAAGCAGCACACAAGGUAUUGAGGUACAUCAAGCAAGCACCUGGUCAGGGAAUUCUCUUACCUUCCAAAGGGUCAUUGGAUUUAAGGGCAUAUUGUGAUGCAGACUGAGUUCAUUGCAAGGACACUAGAAAGUCAACAACUGGCUAUUGUAUUUUCCUUGGACAUGCUCCCAUUUCAUGGAAGACAAAGAAACAAAGUACAAUAUCAUAUUCGAGUGUAGAAGUUGAGUAUCAUUCCAUGGCUACUACAUGCUGUGAAAUAACAUGGCUGCAAUACAUUUUAAGGGACUUGAAUGUUAAGCAUGAGCAACCAGAUAAAUUGUUUUGUGACAAUAAGGCAGCAAUACACAUAGCCUCAAAUCUCGUGUUUCAUGAACCAAGCAUAUAGAAAUAGACUGUCAUCUGGUGCGAGAAAAGGUGCAGAAAGAAUUGGUUUAACCAGAGCACAUACGGACCAAGGAGCAACCAGCAGACAUAUUCACUAAGCCACUAAGUUCAAACCAGUUCUCCAUAUUACUGGGCAAGUUAGGAGUGAUCAACAUAAACUCUAACUUGAGAGGGAGUAUUGAAGGAAAGAAUCCCAAGUAAUUAGAUGAUAUACUAUAAUCAAUGGGAUGAAAUAAUUUACCAAAGUUAAUCCUAGAAUAGCUCCUAGAAUAUUUCCUAGAAUAGUGGAUGUGAUUGUAUGUAAACUGUGUAUAUAUAUGUCGUGCUUCUUUGCAAUAUGAAGACACUGAAUACAUAAUACAAUAAUAUUAUCAUUCUGUUCAGUGUGGACUUUCAUUCAUUCUCCUUUCUACGACUUGAGUAUUUUCUGCAUCAGCAUGUUUUCUCUAUUAAUUUGAUGUUCUGUUUCUAUUGCAUAAUGCAUUAUGCGGUUUUGGGCAUCAGCAAUGCCGCUCAAGAUCUUCAAUAAAUGUUAUUGUAUGAGUAUGUGAAUGUAUUUGGGCAUUCAAAUCUCAAGAUGACUGAGACUUGAUUUCAUGCUUUCCUAGCAGAACAAUCUCAUGUAGAAUGGUUUUUUCGAGCAGAUACCUUGCUAGAGAUUCUAAAAAAAAUUAAAAUCAAAAGUCAAAAAUAUAUUAAAUCAAUUUACGAAAGUCGUAUAUGAUAUAAUCUAACUUUAACUACUUCUUGAAAUCUCUUUGUUGUAAUCUUAAUUAUAUAUGCUUCAUAUUAUAUUUUAAAUUAAAACAUUUGUUAUUCUUACCAUAACAAAUUGUAAUGUGGGCAAGACUCAAGUUAUUAUGCAUUGAACUAUUCUCCUAUAAUGCAAUCCUUUUAUAGGUUGCAUAAAAGUUUAAUAUGGUCCUUGAAAUUUUUGUUUUUCAUAUUUAUUUAAUCCUAUAGUGUUAAAUUUUUAUAAUUCAAUCUUAAAACUUCAUUUUUAUCAUAUUUUUAGUUAUUGAAUGUUGAGAGGAGACAGGGAAUGUGGUGAGAAAACGGAGAAAAGAGAGGAUUUGACUGAUCAUAUUCUAGUAAUAAAAAGACCGAUUUUAAUAUCAAUAGAUUCAUCUUGAACAUGAGAGUUUCAUUAAAAUGAUAUUGUUAUUUAACCAUUAAUGAUCUUAAAUAAACAUUUACUUGAUUUAAAAAUGAAAAACCAAUCAGAAUCUAAAUUAAUUAUCGAGUCAUGAUCUACUUAUUUAACCAUUAAUUCUAGGUUUAAGAUUGAAAAUGAUAAAUUUCAGUUUGGUCUCUCAAUUUAUGCAAAAUUUAGUUUAGUUCCUAGAGCAUAAUCUGAGAUUCUGGAUAAAAUGUAAUGUUGAGAAAUUAUAGGGACAUGUUACUUAGUAGCUCAAAAAGAUAAGGGACUAAAAUGAACUUUGCAAACAAUUACAAUGUCGCCGCAUAUUUUUACCAAGUUUUUCAUUUCAGUCAUGUAUCUUUGAAUUCAACUCUUAUACUUAAAAAACAAAAUGCAAUUGAGUUUUAAUUUGGGCAUAAAGAGAUUCGAUUAUGAAAAAAAAAAAAUUUCAAAUAUCAAAUUGAAAAUUUUAAAAAAAUUCACUAUUAAAUUUCAAAUAUCAAAUUGCAUCAAGUGAUUUUUUGAGAUCAUUUCCCAAUUGAGGACGACAGACUACGGGAAAGAGGAGAUUGGUUGUGGUGGGGAUUGAAGCUGUGAUUUGGGAUCGGUUCAGCAUCUUCUGCUGAUAGGUUUAUCCAGCAGACUACAAGAGGUAAGAACCUGCUCUUAUAUAUCAUGCAAAGAAAUGGAUCAGAUCAGAGUUGCCAAACAUGAAAAGAGAACAAGAGCUAAAGCUGCAUAAAUUAACAGCUUAAUAAAAAGAAUACAAUUUUAUUGUGAUCUUUUGAAAAUAAAAGAGAAUAGAAAAAGGCUACAAAAUUCUUGGAGGCAUAGAAAGAGGUAUAAAUGAAUGAACUGUAAUAAUUGAACAAAGAAUUGAUAAAUAUAAAUAGAAAAAAAUAAAGAGCUCUGAAUUCUUAGAGAGAAAACCGUGAGAGUGAAAAAAGAAAAACAGGAAAAGAGGAAAAAAUAAAGAAAGAUGAAGAGAGUUGGAUAAAAUAAGUUAAAAUGUAAGAUUUACGCAUUGAUGUGUAUAAAUGUGUUUUUCUUAGCUUUAAUUUUCUGUUUUGUUGAAUAUUAGAGUUUUGAAGAUUGUGUUUUGGGUUUGAUUGAUGAAUUGAUUUGAAUAUUAUGUGUUAAUUGUUAUUGAUAAUGAGUUAUAUAGUUGAUUUUUAAAGAUUUUAAGUAAAAAUGAUGAUUUUGAGUUAUGGUUUGUUUUAAUGAUGAAUUUGAGUUAGAAAUCUUGAUAUAUCAAUAGUUGAUCUGUGAAAAUUCUGGGUUUGAGGUUGAAGAUCAUGAAAUUUCAGUUUGGUCCUUCAAUUUGUGAAAAUUUCAGUUUAGUUCCUAGAGCAUAAUCCAAGAUUCUAUAUAAAAUGUAAUGUUGAGAAAUUAUAGGGACAUGUUACUUAGUAGCUCAAAAAGAUAAGGAACUAAAAUGAACUUUUCAAAUAAUUACAGUGUCACUAUAUAGUUUUACGGAGUUUUUCAUUUCAGUUGUCUAUUUUUCAAUUCAACUCUUAUCCUUAAAAAAAAAAUGCAAUUGAGUUUUAAUUUUAGCAUAAAGAGAUUCAAUUAUGUAAAAAAAUAAUAAUAAUCCAAAUACCAAAUUGAAAAUUUUAAAAAAAAUUCACUAUUAACAUCCACAUCCACAAUAAAAUAAGUCUCGGUAAAUAAUAAUAAACAGAAAACUCUUUUAUCUUUUAAUAUAUAAUUUUGUAUUGUGACACAUAUUUUUUGAAUAAUUUUUUAUUUAAAAACAUAUUAAAAUAUUAUAUAUAUAAAAUAACAAGAAAUAUUAAAAAAUAUAUUAAUUAAAUAUUUUUAUAAAUUAAAUAUAAUUAUAAAAACCACUCUCACACAGUAAAAAAACAAAUAGCCUCGUUUUCAUACUAAUUUUCAUCUUCUAUUUUCUACAAGACUGGCUUUCUUCCUUCUUUAUCCCAUUCAUUUUUUUCUCCUUUUAUCAUGCUGUGAUUUUAAGAUUUUUAUUUUAAGUGUUUGAAUAACUAGUUGUUUUUUAAAAUAUUUUUUUAUUUUAAAAAUAUAUUAAAAUAAUAUAUUUUUUAUUUUUUAAAAAUUAUUUUUAAUAUCAAUAUAAAAAUAUAAAAAUUAAUUUAGAAUACAAAAAAUUAUUUUAUAAAAAAAUAAUUUAAAAAAUAAAAAACAAACACGCUAUUUCCCUCCUUAUUUGCUGCCGUGAUUUCAGGUCCUCUUUUCCUGCCUUAUUUGCAAGAGCAUGAAAAAAAUAAAUAAAACAAAAUGAAAUCAAACGAGCAUGGCUGUUAACAACUAAAAGUCAAAAUAUAGAGAAAAAUACUAUCGUAGUCUUUCCUUUUCUGGCUCCAACAACCUCUCCCUUUAUUUCCACGUCCCUAUCUUAUCUCAACCGUGCCUUUCCUCUUUUUUUUUUUUUUUUUUGUUUUUGAAAAGCCUUUUAAGCUUUCUCUCUCCCACUUUCUAUCCUUUCCUAAGGGUAGAUAAAGUUGAACACGUGGCGACCAUCUAUUAACUUUUGAAAUUACCUUUAUCUCCAUGUCACAGUAUUUUUUUUUAUGAAAAGUAAAUUAUUUGUUGAUAUUUGAUAGUAUGGUAAAAUAAAUUGAAAAAUAUUUUUCAAUAUUUAAUUAUGUUAUGUAAAAUAAACUGGAAAAUAACGUAUUAAUAUUAUUUUUUUCAAAUUUAUUAAAAUAACAAGUAACAAAUCUUACAAAUUAAAAAGUUGAAUGAGAAAGAAAUUAAAAAAAAUCUAAUUUCAUAAAUUAUCUCAAAUAAAAUAAAUAACAAUCAAAAUAAUGGAGAUCAAAUCUAAAAAUAAAAAACUUAAAAAAUGAUGAAAUUAAAAUAAUAAUAAUUACAAUUUCAUAAAUUAUUUCAAAUAGAAUAAGUAACAAUUAAAAGAAUAAGGACCGAAUUUGAUAGAUAAAAAAUGAUGAAAUUAAAAUAAUAAUAAUUAUAAUUUCAUAAAUUAUUUCAAAUAGAAUAAGUAACAAUUAAAAGAAUAAGAACCGAAUUUGAUAGAUAAAAAAUUUCAAUUAAAAAAAUAAAAAGAGAAAAGCAAAUAACAAUCAUAAAAGUAAAGAUUAAAUUUAAUAUAAAAUGAAAUUCUAAGGAGUGAAAUUGAAAACAAAAAUAUUCAAAACAAAAUAUAUAGUAAUUAAAAGUUUGAGGAUCAAAUUUGUUAUAAUCAACAAAUAAUAUGAUAUUUUUAAAUUUUUUAUAAUUUCUGAAAAGUGUUUUCUGCUUAAAAUAAAAAAAAAUACUUUCCUAAAAAUUAAGUUAAUUUUUUUCACUAAAAAAUAUUUUUCAUUGAAUAAUUUUUUUAAUAACAAAUAAAUAUAAAGAAUUUAUAAAAAACUACUUUCUGUCAGCAAACUCUUUUCUCCUACUUUCUACCACUAUCUUAAUGUGCAGAUCAGGUUGAACAAGUGGCGAUAAUCUAUUGGUUACUUGGAUCAGCUGGUCACCGUGUCACAAAAAGAUUUAAAAUUCUCCUUUCAUUUACUCACGUUGUAAUAUUGGUACUUUCUCAUAAAUUUGUUUUUUUUUUAAACUGCAAUUUUUAAUUAUAAUCUGUAAUUAUAAUUUCUUAUGUAAUGAAAUUGUAAUCCCUAGUAUAAUGCAUAUUCUAGGGCAAGCACAUCACUCAAGAGCAAAGCACCUCGAUGAAAUAGCAAAAAAAAAAGAUUUGAAUGACUGAAAUAAAAUAAAACCACAAAAGAAGGAUGAAGAAAGUAACCGCACUCUGGAUGCCACCAAAAACCUAGUUUUUUUAGCUUUUAUUUAUUUAUUUAAUAUUGUAAUAGGUCAAUAGAAUUACCUCAGUGAGUGUGACACAGAUGAUCAUCAUAGAUAAUUUAUUUUUAAUUGCUUGAGUUUCAUCCUUUAUUGUGUUCAUUCCAGUAAUUCUAUUCUUUGCAAGUCUGUUCCUUUAUUGAUCUGUUUUUUUUUUUUUUUUUAAAAAGAAUAAAACUAAAAAAAACUUCGACCGAUCAUAGCUUAGAUUAGUUAAUUAUAUUUGUUGUUGGAAGCGAGCUAAGUGAUUAUCCUGAACCUUUCACUCGUUUCUUUCUUUGCUAGGUGAGUACUUUUAUACAUUUUUUUUUGUAUGUCACUGUCUCUAUAUGAUCUUAAUUAUGUCAUCAAAAUGCAUUUUUAAUGGGAAUUACUGCUUUAACUCACAAGUGUCAGUUAGAAUCCUUAUACCUUGCCUUGUUGCUUUUGAAGCUGGAUUCCAUACAGAGCUAGAGGCCUUCUCCUUUUCUUCCUCCCGCUAUUUCAUUGAUUGCCAGUGCUUUUCGCACAUAUUUUCCCAAAUUAAGGUAAUGGAAUUCCUAUUCCCAUUCUCUCUGCGCCUGUUUUACUUGUAGUGACUCACUCUCACGCUCUGUAUCCUUAUUUCUCUGAUUUUCAGACCGGUGGAAAAUGGAUAUCAUAAGUGCUGCUGGACCCAUUAUAUCCAAGAUAGCAGAUCUCUUGGUGGAACCAGUAGGAAGGCAGUUCCGUCACAUGUUCUAUUUCAACGAUUUUGUUAAAGAAUUCAAACAAAAAAAGGAGAACCUGGUUUCGGAAAAAGAACGUCUGCAUGACGAUGUCGAAGCUGCUGAAAGGAAUGCUGAAGAAAUUUACGAAGAUGUCAAAAAGUGGCUGGGAGAUGCAAAAAACGAAAUUGAAGGUGCGGAGCCCUUGGAAAAUGAAAUAGGAAAAAAUGGCAAAUGCUUCACUUGGUGUCCAAACUGCAUGCGACAAUUCAAGUUAAGCAAGGCACUGGCCAAGAAGUCGGAGACUUUCAGAGAACUUUUAGAAAAGAAGUUUACAAAAGUGUCCCACAGAGCUUAUCCUCAGCCCAUAGAAUUUCUCCCAUCAAAGGAAUUCAUGCCCUCAGAAUCGUCAGAAGAAGCUUUCAAACAGAUUAUGGAAGCUCUCAAAGAUGACAACGUCAAUAUGAUCGGACUGUGCGGCAUGGGAGGGGUGGGUAAAACCACCGUGGUGAAAGAAGUAGGCAAGAGAGCCAAAGAGUUGCAGCUGUUUGAUGAAGUUUUGAUGGCUACGGUGUCGCAGAAUCCAAAUGUCAUAGACAUUCAGAACCGAAUGGCAGAUAUGUUAGGUUUGAAAAUUGAAGAAAACAGUAAAGAAGGGAGAGCAGGUCGAUUAUGGCAGAGACUGAAGGAAGUGGAGAAGAUGCUUAUAAUCCUAGAUGAUGUUUGGGAAUUUAUUGACUUGAAAGAGAUAGGGAUCCCAUUUGGUGUUGAUCACGGGGGUUGUAAAAUUCUUCUAACAACACGUCGUCAAGGCGUAUGUUCUUCUAUGAACAGCCAGCAAAAAGUGUUCUUAAGAGAAUUACCUGAAAAAGAAGCAUGGGAUUUAUUCAGAAUCAAUGCAGGUUUACGUGAUGGGAACUCUACCUUGAACACAGUGGCAAGGGAGGUUGCGAGAGAAUGCCAAGGCUUGCCUAUAGCACUUGUGACAGUGGGAAGGGCUCUAAGAGAUGCAUCUGCAGUUCAGUGGGAAUUAGCGUCUAGACAGCUCAAAGAAUCUCAAUUUGCGCGCAUGGAACAAAUUGACGAAAAAAAUAAUGCUUAUACAUGUCUUAAGUUGAGCUAUGAUUAUUUGAAGCUCGAGGAAACCAAGUCAUGUUUCGUGCUAUGCUGUUUAUUUCCAGAAGACUAUGAUAUUCCAAUCGAGGACUUGACGAGAUAUGCAGUUGGUUAUGGGUUACAUCAAGAUGCGGAGUCCAUUGAAGAUGCAAGGAAACGAGUUUUUGUGGCAAUCGAAUACCUCAAAGAUUGUUGCAUGCUGUUGGGCACUGAAACUGAAGAACAUGUGAAAAUGCAUGACUUGGUUCGUGACUUUGCUAUUCAGGUAGCAUCAUCAGAAGAAUAUGGAUUCAUGGUAAAGGCUGGCAUUGGGUUGAAGAAGUGGCCAAUGGGCAAUAAAAGCUUUGAAGGUUGUAAAACAAUUUCGUUAAUGGGCAAUAAACUAGCAGAACUUCCUGAAGGAUUGGAAUGUCCAAAGCUCAAAGUUCUAUUGUUAGAAGUGGAUUCUGGUUUGAAUGUUCCAGAGAGUUUUUUUGAAGGGAUGAAAGAAAUUGAAGUUUUGUCUCUGAAGGGAGGGCGUUUGUCAUUGCAAUCACUUGAACUCUCAACGAAACUUCAAUCGUUGGUGUUGAUCAGGUGUGGAUGCAAGGACCUCAUUUGGUUGAGAAAGCUGCAGAGACUUAAGAUUCUUGGUCUUAUGUGGUGCUCAUCCAUUGAAGAAUUACCUGAUGAAAUAGGAGAGCUCAAGGAGUUAAGGUUGUUGGAUGUGACAGGUUGUGAAAGGCUAAGAAGGAUCCCUGUGAAUUUGAUUGGAAGGUUGAAGAAGUUAGAAGAAUUGUUGAUCGGGAAAGACAGCUUUGAGGGAUGGGACAGCACAGGAGGAAUGAAUGCAAGCCUGACAGAACUAAAUUCGUUGUCUCAGUUAGCGGUAUUAUCAUUGAAGAUACCGAAGGUUGAAUGCAUUCCCAGAGAUUUUGUUUUUCCAGUUAGCUUGCGCAAAUAUGAUAUAAUAUUAGGGUAUGGGUUUGUGAGAGGAGGAUACCCAACCUCGACAAGAUUAAUUUUGGGUGGUACAUCCUUAAAUGCGAAGACAUUUGAGCAAUUGUUUUUACAUAAAUUAGAAUCUGUAGAAGUGAGGGAUUGUGGGGAUGUUUUCACUCUGUUUCCAGCAAGAUUGCGGCAAGGUUUAAAAAAUCUAAGGAGGGUAGAAAUUGAGGACUGCAAAUCAUUGGAAGAGGUAUUUGAAUUGGGUGAGGCUGAUGAUGGAAGCAGUGAGGAGAAGGAGCUAC